ACGGCCUAUAACCCGUUUCAGCAGGAGUGUGUUGGAACAGGAACACUUCGUUUACUCGGGGGGUACACGCAAAACUUUGCGUCUGUUCCGGUUGCGAUCAACGCCGGCGUUUGCGAGCUUAUUCUGCGACUGGUUUAUUGUCCUCCCAGCUAUAUCUAGCUUUGCAAACGCCGGUCUCUCAUGUCUGUCCAACUCCAUCGUAAGCAGUCGGUGGUUUCUGGAGGCAGGGGAACGGGACGCAAAUUUUAGGUUGCACGCGAAUGUUCGGUACUUGGACCGGUACCAAUUCAUUCCCAAGUCGGCACCGUAUGCUAUCCAUCAGUGGAUAAUGAGCGGCCAGGGCGCACGUGGUCGUCCACGAUACCCAGACUCUCGCUGCAAACACCACAGAGGCCUCGUGGCGACCAUAACCGUAACGCCCGAGAACCUCCUCACUGCAUACUAAGCUACCGGACGCUCUGGCUCUGGCACUCGCUGGAACCAGGUUCGGGAACCAUAGCCCUGUACAACGCUGUGGCCUUGACUUGUUUACAUGCGCAAAUGCGUUUCCACACAGCGUCAUGGCGGCAUCCUGGUCGACGAUAGGCGUAGCGGCUAAGUCAGCAGCCUGCCACCACAUAGACGCAGGUUGGCGCCUUCGAAUGCCCAGUAUCCGACCAUCAGGAGCAUUCUGACUCCAUGCAUAGAUAAUGCCUGCUACUGCGCGUCGUCUAUAUCGAAGAGGUAGAGUCGGUUGCUUCGCAGGGAGCAUUGUGUAGCGGCUCAUGUGCUGCGCAAGAGCAUCCUGCCCAGACCUGGUUCGAUUCCUGCACUAGGCGUCAAUAACCGAUCUGCAACUGCACAGUGCUUGUUUACCUGGUUCUCUUUGGGGAUUUGAAUGGAGCAGCCCUUUCGUAUUGAAUGCUCUCGCGUUGUAUGCAGUGAUCUAUCGACCGCGUUCCUCGUAAAUCGUGAGCGAUAUGCUCCGGGCGGUAGCGAAACCUGCACGUACUUGUUCUUGGCUUCGAAUGAACGCUUUGGAAGCGGCCCUCUAUACGUUCCACAGAAAGAGGGCCGCCAACGAGUAUCGAGCCGUGCGCAAACUCCCAGAUUCAUCAGUAACAACGUUCGUGGCGCUGGACGCCUUUCUCAGAGGUUCCUCAUUGCUGCUUGAAUCAUGUCUCUUGCGAGAUUCUCCAGAAAGCCGCCCUUGUCCCGAGACCAUCGCCUCGCAUGCAGAGCCGUCAACAGGUGCCUGCGCUUCAUCCGUGAUGCCUCUGAAGUCGCUGGACGAAUGUCAGCGUAUCAAGCGCUGCAACCGUGGCUACGCGAUUCAGCACGGGCCGGUACUGCGCGCUCACCUUGGUUCGUAUGCGGCCGAGCGUCGCACGCAAGGAUGAAGCUUGGAGUCGUCAUCCGAGUUAAAU